CCUACGGGAUGCUGCAGUGGGGGAUAUUGCACAAUGGGGGGAACCCUGAUGCAGCGACGCCGCGUGGGUGAAGGAGCGUUUCGGCGCGUAAAGCCCUAUCGGCCGGGAAGAAGAUGACGGUACCUGACCCCGAAGCCCCGGCUAACUACGAGCCAGCAGCCGCGGUAAGACGUCGGGCGCACGCGUUAUCCGGAUUUACUGGGUGUAAAGGGGGAGCAGACGGGAAUGCAAGCCAGGAGUGAAAGCCCGGGGCCCAACCCCGGGACUGCUGUUGAAACUGCAUGGCUGGAGUUCAGGAGAGGCAGGCGGAAUGCCUGGUGUAGCGGUGAAAUGCUUAGAUAUCACGAAGAACUCCGAUUGCGAAGGCAGCUUACUAAAGUGCGACUGACAUUGAGGCUCGAAAGUGUGGGUAUCAAACAGGAUUAGAUACCCUUGUAGUC
rnacentral:rRNA from 1 species